rnacentral:rRNA from 1 species
GACCUCAAAUCGGGUGGGACUACCCGCUGAACUUAAGCAUAUCAAUAAGCGGAGGAAAAGAAACUAACAAGGAUUCCCCUAGUAACGGCGAGUGAAGAGGGAAAAGCUCAAAUUUUGAAUCUGGUGUCUUUGACUCCCGAGUUGUAAUCUAGAGAAGUGUUUUCCGUGUCGGACCGUGCACAAGUUCCCUGGAACGGGGCGUCAUAGGGGGUGAGAAUCCCGUAUAUGGCACGGACCGCCGAUGCUCUGUGAUACACUCUCAACGAGUCGAGUUGUUUGGGAAUGCAGCUCAAAAUGGGUGGUAAAUUCCAUCUAAAGCUAAAUAUUGGCGAGAGACCGAUAGCGAACAAGUACCGUGAGGGAAAGAUGAAAAGCACUUUGGAAAGAGAGUGAAACAGUACGUGAAAUUGUUGAAAGGGAAGCGU